ACUUUACUGGCGGUUGACAAUAAUAUAAUAUAUGACAAUAAUAAUUGCUUUAGCAUUGGGGAUUAGCAUGUGGAAACAGAAGGGGUUUGUGUCUCAGAGAUGGCAGUGGACUGAGGGCGAAGAAGUACACGUUUCAAGCUGAUUUACGUCAGUUAAGUGAGUGACGCUGUGCCCCUGUUUCGUGUCAGACGAUAUAGGGGCACCGAGUCAAACACUCACGCUACAUAACAAGACAUGCUACAAAUCCCUGUAUGAACUUUGCGCAUGGGCCUUUUGGUUUGCUCCAGUUGCAUAUUUUACGCACAGUGAAUAUAAAUGAGGUUUAACGGUCUUCUGAGAUUUUCCCACUGUGGCAGCAACCUGCACUAUAUGUAACUUGCAGAUAUACAGUGCAGGAUUAAGCUUUAUGUUGAUGAUCAAAAGGCAUGCCCCUUUGUAUUGUGUACGUGUGUACUUGAUGUACUGGUGAGAUGAUUGAUGGCAGGUAGGGGGCGUCGAUGUGUAGGCCUACCUGAUUCGUCUGUGUUGGCCAUCGUUGGGUUGUUGAUUCCUUCUUGGGAUUAAGUGAAUUUGCUGUAUUGAACUCAUAUGCUCCAAGCCUGCUCAGUCACUCACUCACCACCGACUGUCAUUUCGUCACCCUGUCAAUCAAGCUUGUUAGGUAUUCAAUUUACCAGUCAAAUGAACCGAUUUUUAGAAAAUACGUGGGGUUCCGUCCACGAGAUACUCUUAUGUGAGGCUGGUGACUGAGCCGUGGAUAACAGAGCUGCUGACUAUGGUAAUUAUCGCUAGCCUCAUAAAGCAGAAUUGAACCUGAACAACGUGUGACUAUGUCUUGCUGUUGGGCUCCCUACAGUGGAGAAAGUAGAGAGUGAAAAAUUCUUCAAUAUUUUUCGCGGUCAUUCAGCUCCAUGCAAAAUAUUGCUGGUUAUUUAAGUGACAAAAACAUAUUUUACAGCAUCAGGAAGAUGAAAAAAAAGAAACAAAAACAAUUCUGGCCUUUAUCAUGGAAAAUAUAUAAAAUAAUAAUAAUAUUUUUGGAAAACUUGUAUAAAAGUAUCAAUCAAUGCAAACCAAAUAAAUGGCUCUAAUUUUUGUUCUUUAAGACUCAUUGUAAUUCGUUUUCCAUCAUCCAUUUUCACUUGCUGUUACUUAGCAUUAAAAAUAUGCCGUUGUUUGUAUUCCAAAAAGUGAGUCUAAAUGGUAGACCUCAGUUCCUGCAUCAGAUCCAAUGGCGGUGGUUUAUAUUAAAGUGGAUGCGUGGCCAGAGACCAUAGCUGGUUAUGUAUCAGGCUGUUUGCUGCUGCUAAUGGCUUAUUGUUUGCUUUUAGUCCUCCAUAAACCCUGUUACAUUUGCGUCGUGCGGACACACGCAUACAUGCACUCGCACACUCACACACACACGCACACACACACACACACACGCACACACACACACACACACACACACACACACACACACACACACACACACACACACACACACACACACACACAACACACACACACACACACACACGAUCCAGUGCCAUUUCUGUGAGUGUUUGAAUUUGAAUUUAGUGAUUAGUGUCUUUUAUUUAGUCUGUGUAAUCUGGAAAGUUUCCUUCUACUAAUCAAUAAAAAGAUGCUACUUAUCCUACUUAUUUUAGCUAAUAUCUUUAUGUCUUCUUUUAAGACGUGUUGACUCUUUUAAAGACACAAAUUCAGCGUGGACAUGAUCUCAUAAGCGGUAAAAAUAGGCAAACACAGGAAUGGUGAACCUAAGAACAGUUAAACACAGUAGUACCUAGCUUACCUCAUGUUGAGGUCUCUUGACCUGCAGGUGCCUGGAAAUAAAAAAUAUGCAAAAAGAUGGAACUACUUCCCCGGGGGGACAGUGGUCCGCAAGGAGGUCCCACCCCUCCUUCCCUACUACCCUCCUAC
ensembl:lncRNA